rnacentral:rRNA from 1 species
GACGAACGCUGGCGGCGUGCUUAACACAUGCAAGUCGAGCGGUAAGGCCCUUUCGGGGGUACACGGGCGGCGAACGGGUGAGUAACACGUGGGUGACCUGCCCUCAGCUCUGGGAUAAGCCUGGGAAACCGGGUCUAAUACUGGAUAUGACUCCAUGACGCAUGUUGUGGGGUGGAAAGCCUUGUGCGGCUGAGGAUGGGCCCGCGGCCUAUCAGCUUGUUGGUGGGGUGAUGGCCUACCAAGGCGACGACGGGUAGCCGGCCUGAGAGGGCGACCGGCCACACUGGGACUGAGACACGGCCCAGACUCCUACGGGAGGCAGCAGUGGGGAAUCUUGCGCAAUGGGCGAAAGCCUGACGCAGCGACGCCGCGUGAGGGAUGACGGCCUGG